GAGAGAGAGAGAGAGAGAGAGAGAGAGAGAGAGAGAGAGUGCACAUGUAGUUGUGGAGAAUAGAUUGAGAGACCUAAAUUCUGGGGAGCUGCAGGUGUUAAACAAUGAGGUCUUUCUGGUCCAAGGGGCUGCUUAUUUGGAUACUUUCUCCGAACUUACCUGUAACUUCUUGUCUCUUUUAAAAGGUAAGAGAGGAUCACUUUGUGUAUGUGUGUGUGUUAUACAAGCUAAGCUAUCCUACUGCUAUUUGCCUUUCUCUCAGAGCCCUCUCUCAGGUAAAUGUGUUUAAUGUCAGCAAAAAAACCCACAUGAUCUAGUUUACAUCAUAGAGCUUGUUUAGGUGAUAUUGAAGUUGGAGAUUCAGAUUCAUAAGUUUGUUAAUUGGUUGGGCUCAAAAUCAUGGAAUAUGA
ensembl:lncRNA